rnacentral:rRNA from 1 species
GACGAACGCUGGCGGCGUGCUUAACACAUGCAAGUCGAACGAUGAAGCCUUUCGGGGUGGAUUAGUGGCGAACGGGUGAGUAACACGUGGGCAAUCUGCCCUGUACUUUGGGAUAAGCCUUGGAAACGAGGUCUAAUACCGGAUACGAUGAAUCCUUGCAUGGGGGUUUGUUGAAAGUUCUGGCGGUACAGGAUGAGCCCGCGGCCUAUCAGCUUGUUGGUGGGGUAAUGGCCUACCAAGGCGACGACGGGUAGCCGGCCUGAGAGGGCGACCGGCCACACUGGGACUGAGACACGGCCCAGACUCCUACGGGAGGCAGCAGUGGGGAAUAUUGCACAAUGGGCGAAAGCCUGAUGCAGCGACGCCGCGUGAGGGAUGACGGCCU